rnacentral:rRNA from 1 species
CAGCAGUAGCCGCGGGAAUACGUAGGUGGCAAGCGUUGUUCGGAAUUACUGGGCGUAAAGCGUGCGCAGGCGGUUAUAUAAGACAGAUGUGAAAUCCCCGGGCUCAACCUGGGACCUGCAUUUGUGACUGUAUAGCUAGAGUACGGUAGAGGGGGAUGGAAUUCCGCGUGUAGCAGUGAAAUGCGUAGAUAUGCGGAGGAACACCGAUGGCGAAGGCAAUCCCCUGGACCUGUACUGACGCUCAUGCACGAAAGCGUGGGGAGCAAACAGGAUUAGAUACCCCAGUAGUCCCUGUCUCUUAUAC